AAUGAACUCUGGCGGCAGGCCUAGCACAUGUAAGUCGAACGAGAGGCGGACGGGUGGAUAAUGUAUGGGCAACAGCCCGAUGGAGGGGAAUAACUACUGGAAAAGGUAGCUAAUACCGCUUACCAUCGAAUGGGCCAAGAUGGGAUAAGCUAGUAGGUGGGGUAACGGCUCACCUAGGCGAGGAUCCCUAGCUGGUCUGAGAGGAUGACCAGCCACACUGGAACUGAGACCCUGUCCAGACUCCUACGGCAGGCAGCAUUGGGGAAUAUUGCACAAUGUGCGCAAGCCUGAUGGAGCCAUGCCGCGUGGAUGAAGAAGGCCUUCGGGUUGUAAAGUACUGUCAUCGAGGAGGCGUUACUCGCUGAGGAAGCACCGGCUACCUCCGUGCCAGCAGCCGCGGUAAUUC
rnacentral:rRNA from 1 species